GUUUCGGAGUCACCUAGAAACCCUUACGCUACUUUCGCCAUGUCUGUCUGUCUGUCUGUCCGAGGCUUUGCUCCGUGAUCGUUAGUGCUAGAAAGCUGCAAUUUGGCAUGGAUACAUAAAUCAUGCAUUGCGACAGAAUGGUAAAAUAAAA